rnacentral:rRNA from 1 species
AGAUUGAACGCUGGCGGCAGGCCUAACACAUGCAAGUCGAGCGGUAGAGAGGUGCUUGCAUCUCUUGAGAGCGGCGGACGGGUGAGUAAUGCCUAGGAAUCUGCCUAGUGGUGGGGGAUAACGUUCGGAAACGGACGCUAAUACCGCAUACGUCCUACGGGAGAAAGCGGGGGACCUUCGGGCCUCGCGCCAUUAGAUGAGCCUAGGUCGGAUUAGCUAGUUGGUGAGGUAAUGGCUCACCAAGGCGACGAUCCGUAACUGGUCUGAGAGGAUGAUCAGUCACACUGGAACUGAGACACGGUCCAGACUCCUACGGGAGGCAGCAGUGGGAAUAUUGGACAAUGGGCGAAAGCCUGAUCCAGCCAUGCCGCGUGUGUGAAGAAGGUCUUCGGAUUAGUAAAGCUACUUUAAGUUGGAGGAAGGUUGUAACUAAUACGUUGCUAACUUUGACGUUACCGACAGAAAUAAGCAACCGGCUAACUUCGAGCCAGCACGCCGUA